AUCAAUUUACCACAGCUGUAAAAAUCACCAAAAAGGAGAACUAGUUUCAGAUUGUGUCUCAGCAAUGCUUAGCAACCAAGAAAGCCAAACCCCAAAAAAGCCAUAAAUAAGGGAAGAACAACAAAGCAAGUAAAGGAGAUUCUCAUCACUACAGAAAGGCUCGCAUGGCAACACUAAAGCAUUUCAAAACACUCCAAAGCACCAAACUUUAUCAGACAAGUCUUUUUUUACCAUGCUUGGAAACCCUAAUCUUCAAGCACCAAAAUAUGAAUUUUUCCCCAAAUAAGAAUUUCCACACUCAACAUAUCUACACUCAAAGUGAGAAUCAUGCAAGCAGAACCAGAAAUGGUGAUGAAUCAGAAAUUCCUAACCUUUUUAGCCAGGAUCCCAUAGAACCCAAAAACCAGAGAACUAGCAUUCCAAUGGAUAAGGAAUGAACCCUAAACACCAAAUCAGAACUUCACACUUAACACAUCUACACUCAAAGUGAGAACCAAGCAAGCAGAAUCAGAAAUGGUAAGAAAUCCCUAACCUUUAGCCAGGAUCCCAUAGAACCCUAAAACCAGAGAACAAGCAUUUCAAUGCUAAGGAAUAAAGCCCUAACCCCAUAAACAAGCAAAUCAAAGCUACAAAGAACCUUACUUUUAUCAUCUCCAAUUCAUCAAAAUAGAAACAAAACCAGAAACCAAGUCCUUUAACUUCAAAUCAAUUAGAGAAAUCAAACAUCAGUUUGAUUUUGAAGAGAUGAACCCUAACUCCCAUAAACCAGCGAAAAACAAAGCUACAAAGAACCUUACUUUAUCAACUUCCCACCAACAAAUCAGCAGAAAUUGACUGCUAUACAUCAAGAACAAAGACAAAAAUAACAAGGAUUGACUUCAAAUCAGUCAGAGAAAUCAACAACAGAUCUAAACCCCCUCAGAAAAUGACAACAGAACCUCCAGUGAAAAUGAAAAAACCUACCAAGUGAACAACCAGUCAAGGUUUAUCCAAAAUCCCAGCAGAAAUUGCAGGAAGUUGGAAAAUUUGAGAUCUAGCUGAACGAACCCACCAAGCAAAAGAGAUUAGGCGAAGGAAACAAUUAGUGAUAGGCCAACCAACAGACACCCACCUCGGUCUUCUUCUUCCUCCUUUUGUUGGUCAGAUCUCUAUCUUUUUCUCUCUCUUUCUCUACAGCUUUUGUCUGUUCUUCUGUUGUUUUUCUUUCUCUCUGUAGAGCUUUUGUAUGUAUGAACACUCGGCCAACAACAACAACUGCUACCCGCGGGGUUGAGCAGCACCCGCUUUAAAUCCACUCAACCAUCAUUCGUCUCUUGGCAGAAAAAGGUAAAGACUUUACCCAACUUAUUACUCUAUUAGCUUUGUUGGCUUCCUAUUUUGUUUUCUUUUCAAAUAAGUGAAGUUCAAUUAAGAUAAUUCAAUUGCUUUAAACGAUCAGAUUUAGUAUAAGAAUUUGAUAAUACAACAAUCCUAAAAAAAUCAUGAAAUUGAUUGAAUGAUCAAAGCACAGCAUGAAAGUGUAUAAAAUUGUGAAAUAAUUAUCUUAAAGAUGAAAAUAAGUGUAUUAGAGCUAAAGCGAUAAUUGAAGUUGGUAUUUAUACGAAACAAAACAGUUGUUACGAUACUCUCAUACACACCCCAUCAAAUGCUCAUUUGACCGGCCUCCUCCUGAAUGCAUUUUUGUUCGAUGGAAAACAAGCCCUACUUUCCCUGAGCAUUUGCUAGCUCUUUAAAAAACGAAACUCAUAAUUUAUAUAAAAAAAAGUAUUUAACACCCAUCAACCAACUCCGUGUAUUACUCAAACUUUUUUCUAAAUGCAUUUUUGUUUGAUGGGAAAGAAUCUAACUUUCUUUCCGAGAAUGAGCAAGUUUUUCAAGACCGAAACCCGUCAAUAAAAUUCAUAUAUUACUAUGUUUCAUAUAAAAAAAAUGUCUUAAAUAUUCAUAUUUGAGUGGAAAAUGGAAAUGUGGUGAUUUUCUUUGUAGAUGAAACAAAGAGUAAGAGACUAAUUCUAGCAUAAAAAAAAGAAGAAGAAUAGGAAUAUUCUUGAUUUUAAUAAUUGAGAAGAAACUAGGUAUUUGGAAUAUUAAAAUGGUGGAAGGUGGCCUCCAUUCACGAAUGGGACACCAACGACUAAAUUCUUUGUUCAUGUGUAAAGAGAAAAAAAAAUUGAUUUGAUUAUAUUUGUUAGGUUUGGUUGUUGAUUGGAUUUAGGGUUUGGAAAUUGGAAUAAGCUCAUCUUAGAGGUAUAUCCCUAAUUUCUAUACAUCUAAAGUUUAUUGGCCUAGUGGCAUAGCGACAUUCAUAAUAUUCUUAUGGAUUUUGGGUUAUAUUCCGAUAAUUUACCCUGUAAAUAUGUAUUUGGUAGGCUCAUAGGAGGAAGCACACAAGGCCAAGGUGAAGGUCUCGUUGCACAUGAGGGAAACUCUAGAGGAGUCGAUGAUGUAGCAUGCAUGCACGAUUAGAUGUAUAAUAUGUAAUAAAGAGGAGCUUAUAAUGUGUAAUAACACUCCUCCGCGUGCAAUUGAAUAUCACUCUCACUUCCUAUACGUAAGUACGUAACUAAAUACCAAUGUCUAAAGAGAAUGAUAUCUCAUAAGAAGAGGAUGCCGUACUACGAGAGACUCAAUGCUUUAAGUUG
rnacentral:lncRNA from 1 species